rnacentral:rRNA from 1 species
AGAGUUUCUUUCUGGCUCAGGAUGAACGCCGGCGGUGUGCCUAAUACAUGCAAGUCGUACGCACUGGCCCAACUGAUUGAUUGUGCUUGCACCUGAUUGACGAUGGAUCACCAGUGAGUGGCGGACGGGUGAGUAACACGUAGGUAACCUGCCCCGGAGCGGGGGAUAACAUUUGGAAACAGAUGCUAAUACCGCAUAACAACAAAAGCCACAUGGCUUUUGUUUGAAAGAUGGCCUUGGCUAUCACUCUGGGAUGGACCUGCGGUGCAUUAGCUAGUUGGUAAGGUAACGGCUUACCAAGGCGAUGAUGCAUAGCCGAGUUGAGAGACUGAUCGGCCACAAUGGAACUGAGACACGGUCCAUACUCCUACGGGAGGCAGCAGUAGGGAAUCUUCCACAAUGGGCGCAAGCCUGAUGGAGCAACACCGCGUGAGUGAAGAAGGGUUUCGGCUCGUAAAGCUCUGUUGUUGGAGAAGAACGUGCGUGAGAGUAACUGUUCACGCAGUGACGGUAUCCAACCAGAAAGUCACGGCUAACUACGUGCCAGCAGCCGCGGUAAUACGUAGGUGGCAAGCGUUAUCCGGAUUUAUUGGGCGUAAAGCGAGCGCAGGCGGUUGCUUAGGUCUGAUGUGAAAGCCUUCGGCUUAACCGAAGAAGUGCAUCGGAAACCGGGCGACUUGAGUGCAGAAGAGGACAGUGGAACUCCAUGUGUAGCGGUGGAAUGCGUAGAUAUAUGGAAGAACACCAGUGGCGAAGGCGGCUGUCUGGUCUGCAACUGACGCUGAGGCUCGAAAGCAUGGGUAGCGAACAGGAUUAGAUACCCUGGUAGUCCAUACCGUAAACGAUGAGU